GAUGAACGCUGGCGGCGUGCCUAAUACAUGCAAGUCGAGCGAACGGACGAGAAGCUUGCUUCUCUGAUGUUAGCGGCGGACGGGUGAGUAACACGUGGAUAACCUACCUAUAAGACUGGGAUAACUUCGGGAAACCGGAGCUAAUACCGGAUAAUAUUUUGAACCGCAUGGUUCAAAAGUGAAAGACGGUCUUGCUGUCACUUAUAGAUGGAUCCGCGCUGCAUUAGCUAGUUGGUAAGGUAACGGCUUACCAAGGCAACGAUGCAUAGCCGACCUGAGAGGGUGAUCGGCCACACUGGAACUGAGACACGGUCCAGACUCCUGCGGGAGGCAGCAGUAGGGAAUCUUCCGCAAUGGGCGAAAGCCUGACGGAGCAACGCCGCGUGAGUGAUGAAGGUCUUCGGAUCGUAAAACUCUGUUAUUAGGGAAGAGCAUAUGUGUAAGUAACUGUGCACAUCUUGACGGUACCUAAUCAGAAAGCCACGGCUAACUACGUG
rnacentral:rRNA from 1 species